GACGAACGCUGGCGGCGUGCUUAACACAUGCAAGUCGAACGGAAAGGCCCUGGUUUUGUGGGGUGCUCGAGUGGCGAACGGGUGAGUAACAUGUGAGUAACCUGCCCAUUACUUUGGGAUAACUGCAGGAAACUAGUGCUAAUACCUUAUAGUAGCUCCUGCUGUAUGUAGGUGGUUGGAAAGUUUCGGCGGAUGGGGAUGGACUCGCGGAUUAUCAGCUUGUUGGUGGGGUAGUGGCUUACCAAGUCUUUGACGGGUAGCCGGCCUGAGAGGGUGACCGGCCACAUUGGGACUGAGAUACGCACCAGACUCCUACGGGAGGCAGCAGUGAGGAAUAUUGCACAAUGGGCGGAAGCCUGAUGCAGCAACGACGCGUGCGGGAUGACGGCCUUCGGGUUGUAAACCGCUUUCGCCUGUGACGAAGCGUGAGUGACGGUAAUGGGUAAAGAAGCACCGGCUAACUACGUG
rnacentral:rRNA from 1 species